UUCUUAUCAAGAGCAGGCGGAGGGACUAGCCCUAUGAAGCCCGGCAACCGACUUAUACAUGAGCACGGUGCUAAAUCUUGCAGCUUAUAGCUGAUAGAUAAGAA
rnacentral:ncRNA from 2 species